rnacentral:rRNA from 1 species
GUUGAACGCUGGCGGCGGGCCUAACACAUGCAAGUCGAACGAGGGGAGCACGGGUGAGUCAUGUCUGUGAACCUGCCUGAUGGAGGGGGAUAACUACUGAAACCGGUGGCUAAUCCCGCAUACCAUCAGUUUUACCCAGAUGUGAUUAGCUUGUGGUGGGGGUAAAGGCUCACCAAGGCGACGACCCCUAGCUGGUCUGAGAGGAUGACGAGCCCCACUGGAACUGAGACACGGUCCAGACCCCUACGGGAGGCAGCAGUGGGGAAUAUUGGACAAUGGGGGAAAGCUUGAUGCAGCCAUGCCGCGUGUGUGAAGAAGGUCUUCGGGUUGUAAAGUACUUUGUGAGAGGAGGCGUUACCUGCCGAGGAAGCAACGGCUAACUCCGUGCCAGCAGCCGCGGUAAUAC